rnacentral:rRNA from 1 species
ACUAAUUUUCAUUUUUCCUUUUUGUUUGCUGAAUGAGUCUAAUGUUAGUGUACUAGCAAGCAAUAAGGCCAUUGUUGUAUUGUUUGCUGACAUAAUUUCUUGGUUUUAGAAUUUUUGCCAGUUGGCAAUUGAAGACGAUAGCAUUGAGACAAACAUGGGAAGACAUGAGGUAGGUAAAUAAAGAAGAAGAAAAACUAUAGUCUGCAUCUUUGCGACAGCAAGUUAGUGUUAAUAUGACAUUUUGUUUAGGUAGUAAGUUAGUGUUUUAAUCUGGCAUUACCAUGUAUUGUGCAGGUGAGCAAUUGCCAGAUUGAAGCACUUACAAGAUCAUCGUUUCUUGGUCUUUUGUAGCUUUGACUUACAUGGAUGACAAGGCAGUACCCUGGACAGGCGGUUGGAAUUUACACAAGCGGAGUACGGUAGGGGCAGAGGGAAUUCCGGUGGAGCGGGAAAUGAUGAGAUCGAAAGAACACCAACGGCGAACGAAUAGAAAGCCACUUGCUGGGCCGACACUGACAAUGAGAGAGACGGAAAAGCGAGGGGACAAAGGGGAUUAGAGACCCCAUAGUCUAGCGUAACGAUGGAUACUAGGUGCUUUGCGACUCGACCCGUGAAGUGCUGCGAGCUAACGCGUUAAAGUAUCCGCCUGGGAGUACGUUCGCAAGAAUGAAACUCAAAGGAAUUGACGGGGCGCCCGCACAAGGGUGGAGCAUGUUGGUGUAAUUCGAUUGCAAAGCGAAGAACCUUACAGGGCUUGACAUGCCGCGAAUCCUCUGAAAGAGAGGGGUGCCAUCGGGAACGGGACACAGGUGGUGCAUGGCUGUCGUCAGCUCGUGCCGUAGGGGUUGGGUUAAUCUAGCGCAAACGAGCGCAACCCUCGUUGAGUUGCCACUAUGAGUUUUGGAAAACCCCUGAACAGACCGCCGGUGUUAAGCCGGAGGAAGGAGAGGAUGAGGCCAAGUCAUCAUGCCCCUUAUGCCCUGGCGACACAGUGCUACAAAUGGGCGGGAAAAGGGUUCGCGAUCUCGCGAGGGUGAGGCUCUUAACUCCAAAAACCCGUCCUCAGUCGGAUGCGGCUGCAACUCGCAUCAUGAAGAGGAAUCGCUAGUAAUCGCCGGUCAGCCAUACGGCGGUGAAUCCGUUCCCGGGCCUUGUACACACGCCCGGCACACUAUAGGAGCUGGCAAGGUUUGAAGUCAGUACCUUAACCGUAAGGAGGGGGAUGCCUAAGGCUAGGCUUGCGACUGGAGUGAGAGUUCGUGCGUAAACAAGUAGCCGUACUGGAAGGUGCGGCUG